rnacentral:rRNA from 1 species
GAUGAACGCUGGCGGCGUGCUUAACACAUGCAAGUCGAACGGUGAAGGCGGAGCCUGCUCUGCUGGAUCAGUGGCGAACGGGUGAGUAACACGUGAGCAAUCUGCCCCUGACUCUGGGAUAAGCGCUGGAAACGGCGUCUAAUACUGGAUACGAGCUGCGAAGGCAUCUUCAGCAGCUGGAAAGAACUUCGGUCAGGGAUGAGCUCGCGGCCUAUCAGCUUGUUGGUGAGGUAACGGCUCACCAAGGCGUCGACGGGUAGCCGGCCUGAGAGGGUGACCGGCCACACUGGGACUGAGACACGGCCCAGACUCCUACGGGAGGCAGCAGUGGGGAAUAUUGCACAAUGGGCGAAAGCCUGAUGCAGCAACGCCGCGUGAGGGACGACGGCCUUCGGGUUGUAAACCUCUUUUAGCAGGGAAGAAGCGAAAGUGACGGUACCUGCAGAAAAAGCGCCGGCUAACUACGUG